UAGAGUGGCGCUCACGGCCGCGCUUGGCGUAGUAAGUUUCCAGUGCGUGCUGACCCAAUGAGUGUAGGGGGAGGCAGCGGAGGCCCGGUGCGCUGACCUAGAUUGCAUACGGCAUUGCUGGAGGCUAGGGACCGGCCGGGCAGUGCGGGUGUCCCUGGACCGGGGUGUGGAGAAGCAGCGGCAUCCCUAUGGGACCCGCCAGCGUAGAGCAAUGAGACCGGGGUGCCACGUGAGUGGCGGCGUCCGGAGGGUCACGGGCAGUGGGGAGGCUGCCGGCGGCGAGUAGGGUGGCUUUCGCUGAGUGCGGGGGCACCCGGCGGGGCGGGCCCAGUUGCACAGGGUUUCCAGGCCAGGGACCACGUGGGUCUACAUUAGCAGUAGUGGGCCUGGGGCGCCCGGUGCGGUGACUUUCAGCGGUGCCGACCCGACUCAAGAGCUGUCUGUUGUGUGGAGGUCUUGGGGGCCCACACGGGUGGCUUUCAGCAGUUGCUCCGCACUAGUAAACCGGGAGGCAGCAGAGAACCAGAACAUGGCAGCGAGCAGCAGAGCCUACCCAGUAGUACAAAAGUCACUGAAUCGCAAGCAGGCUUUCCUCCCACAGCCAGGAACAAACACUCUAAGAGUGGCAGAGCUACAGGGGGUCAUGGCAUGAAACUGUGAGAUGGACACAAUUUCAGAUCUGUACCUGCAUCAGGGACCUGUUGUGCCAGGCAUUUGCUGCAUAGUCUCCUGCUGCCUCCUGGUCCAGUGGUUGCAGGCAAGUCUUGCCUUGUGUGUAAUUAAUUAGUCAGCACUUGUGGCAGAGUGAGAAGGAAAGUCAAGAGCUGUCAGCACGUGGGUGUACUUCCUCCUUCUGGCAGAAAUACUCAAAGAAGAGGAGAAAGAAAUGGGAGAUUUUCCCGGUUUGUGUCUGCACAUUUGCAGAGUCCUAGUGCAGUGACAUUUUCCCUUUGUUUGUAGCUUUCCCUGUUGUUUUAGAGUUGAGGGUGUAGCUUGCUCCUGCCAGACCCUUUUUGUAGUUUGUAGCCCCCUCUCCCCAGUGGUUUGAUGCCUUCUUCAUCACUCAACUCAUCUGUCAUGUUCUUUUCCUUCCCUGAAGCUUUUCCUGCUUCCCUACAACAUUGCCAAGUGCUGGAAAGAGGAAGAACGGCCUCCAACAAAACCCUGUACCUGUAAUGAACACUGGCAAAGUACUACUUCUCUUUCAGGUUAAGAGAAGAGCUCAAGUGUUAAAGGCUUAGAUGCAUGACACAGAUACCUUUCCCUCCUUCAUUUUGAGAUGACAGGCCUGUCUGUUCCAACCCCAAAGGCACAGAAGGUACUCUUUAAACUGUACCACAACAUCCCACCCACACUCCCCUCUCCUAUCCCCAUCCUCACCAUGACAUGAGAGACCCACAGAGGCAUCAGGGCCAGGAGAGCUCUGAAGGAGUGCUGUACAUGUGUGAACCACUGUGCACAGCUCUGUGCUUGUGAGUAUGCACAAGUUCUGCAAGUGUAAACAUAGCUCUGUGUGAGACAUAUAUUAAUAUGUAUAGCACUGCAUACAUUGGUGUGCUCAAACUCUACGUACAAGCAAGUCUUGUGCUUGUAGGCACAUGUGCAUCAGUAGAGACUACAUAAGUGAGUGUAUAACACAUGUGCUGUUGUAGCAAGUUGAGUGUACACAAGUGUGUGCUGCUAACAAGUACCGUAGUACACAAGAGCUCUGUACAAGUGAGCAGGUACAUGUGUGUAUGUACACUAGCUCUGCACAUGUCUGUGUACACACAUGGGUUAGGCACGUCCAGAGACAUAGCUCUAGAUACACGGCUCUGUCCAUCCAACUGCUGUCUCACCUAGAAAAACAGAUGUGUGUGUAUAUAUGUGUGUGUGUGUGUCACUACCUAGCUCUCUGUAUGUUGUGGUGUGAAGUUAUAUCCUGUCCCUCAGCUGUGACUACUUCCUCCUUCCUUUUCCCCUGCCCUCUUCCUAAUUGCUGUCUGUCAAGUUCCACAUUCCAGCAAGGGCAUCGUGUGAUUGGCAGAAGUUCAAAAGAUGCUUCUCAGACCUGGGGUCAUUGGCCUGUUCAGGUGUCAUUGUCCCCUGAGACCCUCCCCCUCCCACCUGGUUGGUGGCUCACCUGUCCUUUCCCUCCCCCCUCCCUGUGGGUUUAAAAGGCGCUGGAACCAUGCAGUCAGUAUUCUGUUGGAGCUGUUGCAAAGAUUCAGAACUCUUGUGACCCUGGAAUAAACUCUAGAUUUAACCCUCUGGCAGAAUCCGCUCUUUUCUCUUCACCAUCGCCUGAACUUUUCCACUAGAGGUAAACCGAGUUUCUACUUUGUUUGGACUCAUUCUGAGUGCCUAACUCCCAGCCAGCCAAGGGUGUCUCUGAGGUGAAAACCACAGCUGCUACCUUUGAGCACUAAUGCUGGACAAGCCCAGGCACGCUCCAUCUGUAUACACCCUGUUCUUAUUAGGAAAAGAAUUUGCCUCUACGUAUAAGUUUGUCAAAAGUUUAUGUAAAGUCAUAUACAGUGAUUUCCAUCAAAUUUAAUAAUGUUUAAGUUUCCAUUAAAUCUCUAUAAACAAGAGUAUCUACAAUCGCUGUUACCCACUGCUAUUCUAACCCACGUUCCCUAUGUAGUAUAUAGUAGAGAUAAUUCAUGCUGUAUAUGUAUAUAAAAUAUUGUGAGAUCCAACUUAUGUCUUUUACCACCCUGGCUGGGAGCAGAGUCUUAUUUCUAUUCAAUUAGUUCCUGGACAUCGUUAAGAUAAUAUCAAGUCCAUUAACGUAAGAAUGAAACCUUCUUGGGCCAUGAGUGCCGAUUUCCCAGGAAUGUCUGAGCUGUUCACGAGAACUUGCACCUGGGGAGAUCUCAUCUACCAACUCAAGCACCGGCACUACUCCAUUACAUGUGAAAGAAGGCUAUUCUGAAGAAGUCCAGACAGCCAUCCGGACCUCUGGACUGGCUUUUGUACCCUUCUGCAUCUGUAUGGUCCCUGUUAUACAUGUGAAGGGACACAAAAGAACCUUCUGUCAUUUCUGCCUCAUGCAGAAUAAAUGGGAUAUAAGCUAGCGGCAUGAAGCAGUUGGGGUGAACCGCUAAGGAGAUGCUGGCACUCUGUCAGUCGGAUCCAGGUUCACGCAGCACCGACUUCCGGGGUUGACGCUGCCUUGGCUGUGGUGGUUUUUUUUUUUGAAAUUC